UACGUAGGGUGCAAGCGUUGUCCGGAAUUAUUGGGCGUAAAGAGCUCGUAGGCGGUCUGUUGCGUCGGCUGUGAAAACCCGGGGCUCAACUCCGGGCCUGCAGCCGAUACGGGCAGGCUGGAGUUCGGUAGGGGAGACUGGAAUUCCUGGUGUAGCGGUGAAAUGCGCAGAUAUCAGGAGGAACACCUAUUGCGAAGGCAGCUCGCUGGGACGUAACUGACGCUGAGACGCGAAAGCGUGGGGAGCAAACAGG
rnacentral:rRNA from 1 species